GAUCCGUUGGUCAAGAGGUUAAGACACCGCCCUUUCACGGCGGUAACACGGGUUCGAAUCCCGUACGGAUCA
rnacentral:tRNA from 5 species